rnacentral:tRNA from 1 species
CGGGAGGUGGCGCAGCCUGGUAGCGCGCUUGUCACCAGCAAGAGGCCGGUGGUUCAAAUCCACUCCUCCCGA